rnacentral:rRNA from 1 species
CCAGACUCCUACGGGAGGCAGCAGUAGGGAAUCUUCGGCAAUGGACGGAAGUCUGACCGAGCAACGCCGCGUGAGUGAAGAAGGUUUUCGGAUCGUAAAGCUCUGUUGUAAGAGAAGAACGAGUGUGAGAGUGGAAAGUUCACACUGUGACGGUAUCUUACCAGAAAGGGACGGCUAACUACGUGCCAAAAAGAAAAAGUAAUACGUAGGUCCCGAGCGUUGUCCGGAUUUAUUGGGCGUAAAGCGAGCGCAGGCGGUUAGAUAAGUCUGAAGUUAAAGGCUGUGGCUUAACCAUAGUACGCUUUGGAAACUGUUUAACUUGAGUGCAAGAGGGGAGAGUGGAAUUCCAUGUGUAGCGGUGAAAUGCGUAGAUAUAUGGAGGAACACCGGUGGCGAAAGCGGCUCUCUGGCUUGUAACUGACGCUGAGGCUCGAAAGCGUGGGGAGCAAACAGGAUUAGAUACCCUGGUAGU